AGGCCUUUAAAAAAGAAGAAAGCAUAUUCUGAGGACAUUAACUUACAUAUAAUAAGGUACGUGAGCAGAGACGGAAGUUGAGAGGAUGAAGGGAAAACACAAAGAAACAUCUGUGACAUCAUUUUUCUUGCUGAAGGUCUCUGAUGGACUAGAGGCGCCAGAGUUCUGCUCCCCUCCCCCGAGAGCGCUGGGUCUCAGGAGUGCUGGAGGUGUGCGAGAAUACCGAAGAUAAAGUCCAUAGAACUCAAAAAGGUCAACAAGCUGAGGGACGCAAGGGCCCUCAGUGGCACUUGGGAGGGAGAAGAGAGCAACCAUAAGGGGGCUGGAGAGAUGGCUCAGCGGUUAAGAGCACCCGACUACUCUUCCAGAGGUCCUGAGUUCAAUUCCCAGCAACCACAUGGUGGCUCACAACCAUCUGUAAGGAGAUCUGAUGCCCUCUUCUGGUCCAACUGUGCAAGGGUAGCACAUCCCACAGUGAUCUGGGACUUCCAACAUCAAUCAUCAGUCAAGAAAAUUCCCUACAGACCAAGCUGAAAGGAAGUGUUUUUUCUUAUUAUUGCUUUCAAACAUAUGAUUAAGUGAAAUAAAAUUAAAAAGAUGUUUUCCCUGUUUUCCCUCUUUCUUUCCGGAACUCCGAAUAAGUGCCGCCUCCCUUUAGCCCUCAAAUAUCAUUCUUCCUGAUAAUUGAGAGACUUUAUUCUUUUGGUUUAAUUAUUAUUCGUGUGUGUGUGUGUGUGUGUGUGUGUGUGUACACAUAUAUACUUACAACCUGCUUAGUUCAGUUAUGCUGUUUCUGUUUAUAUGAUUACAGGGCUGACCACUCUGCACUAGAUGACCAAUAAAGUUUCCUCUUUCCUGAGUCCCCCCACUAGACAAUGGAUCACAGGCCACUAAGGACUGCUGAGAAGGACAAAAAGUCCACAGAAGCAUGUGGUCAACCACUGAGGAUAUGCUCGUGACCACCUUCAACUUCAUGGAGCUACCAGCCUUUCAAAUAUUCAUUAUUACCACCCCUUGGAAGCAUCCCUCAGAGACCUGUGUGCUGAUUGCCUGGUCGUCAACGUAGUAUUGAGGUCAAGUCUUGAUAGGAUUCAAAGGGCUGUACCUUCAUCAAAGGAUUAGUCCAUUGAGAAUUCAGUACCAGAUAGACUCUGCAGGGAUGGAAAUGGAGAAGAGCCUGAAGAAAAGGUCCAGUGACAGGACCAAAGUGGGAUCCACCUCAAGGGGAGGCCUCAAGACCUGACACCAUUACUGAGGCUAUGGGGCAUUCACAAAAAGGGACCUAUCAUGGCUGCCCUCUGAAAGACCCAACACGCAGUUGAAAGAGUCAGAUAGAGAUAUGUGCACUCAAUCAAUGAACAGAAGAUGCUGAUCCCUCUGGUUGAAUAAGGGAAAAGCUGGAGGAAGCCAAGGAGGAGGAGGGCAACCCUGUAUGAGGACCAGCAGUCUCAAUUAACCUGGACCCCCGAGAUCUCUCAGACACUGGAUCACCAACUGGGCAGCACACACCAGCUGAGAUGAGGCCUCCAACACACAUCCAGCAGAGGACUCUUGGGUCUGGGUUCACUCAGAGAAGAUGCUCCUAAGCCCUAAGCGACUGGAGGUCCCAGGAAGUUUAGAGGUCUGGUGGGGUGGGUGGGGUGAGGACAGCCUUGUGGGGAGGGUGACAGGAGGAGGUGUGCGAUGGGGAACAGUUGGAGAGUGGACGAGGGGAGGAAUAAAAUCUGAAGUGUAAAAAUAAAUAAAUAAAUAAAGUUUAAAAGAGAAAGAGGGUCUAACUGAUGGAAGUAGAUCAUUGCUAUAUGCUAAUAAAAGGCAUAAAUUUUGGGUGCUCUCUGUUCCUCAGCUUGUAACAGGUAGGAACCUUUGCUUCACUGAAUUCUCUCUGCCAUGGGAAUCAGCCACAGCACAAGCCCUCAACAGAGUCAACUAACAUUGGAGAGAAAACUCUGUAAUCAUAAGUUGAAAUGAAUCUCUCCUUUUUUGAGUUUCUCAGUCACUUUGCCAUGAUAAUAUAAAACUAACACAACUUGACCUUAAACUUUAUGAUGUAACAGAAUAAAUAGUUCAGGCCCUGGAUCUCUCUAAUAAACUUAAUAACUACUAUCCAAUUUCUGUCACAGUGGGUCAAAUAUGGAAACACAUUAUAUAUCUGUACAGGUUUAUAGCCUUUAAUAUUAUAUUAGUCCUUCAUAUGUAUGUUUAUAGGUCUAAUAUACGAAAAAGCCUUAGAAAUAAGUUUUUAUGUAUAAAACAAAAACAAAACUCUAAUCUUUCUAAAAAAUGAGAAAAAUUAGACAUGUCUCCUACUAAAACAUGUCACUAAUAAAAUUAGUGUUUAUUUUCUGCACUUACUCAUGUAUAUUAUUUUAUCCUAAAAUAAGACUAUUUGCAUAUAAAGUCAUAUCACUGAAAAUAUUAUUUAGUGAAAUUAGCUAUAGUCAUGAUAAUAUAGUCUUUUAUCCUAAUUUAAGCAGGUAAAAACAAAUCUUGCAAAGUGCUUCGUGGGAUAGUUGAGAGCAAAGGCAUAUAAGCCAAUAUUUUAUGUAAACUUUAAGAAAUGUUUUGUAGUAAUAGCAAAUAAUUUCUUUACCUUGUACCAAGGCUGGGUGGGAGUGAGUGUUAUACUAGGACCAGUUUGAGAAUUGAUUCCUGGGGACUCGCUUGUAGGAUAUAAAAAUUGUAUAUUGUGUUAACUUUAUUUUGUCUCGAAAAUUGUAUAUUACUGAAGUAGAGAAAAAACUCAUCAAUAAUUACCAUCACCUAAAUAUGAA
ensembl:lncRNA